GUGCUCGUUUCGGCAGCACAUAUACUAAUAUUGGAACGAUACAGAGAAGAUUUAGCAUGGUCCCUGAGCAAGGAUGACACGCAAGUUCAUGAAAUGUUCCAUAUUUUU
rnacentral:snRNA from 1 species